CCCUCACCGGGCUGCUGAAGGACGAAGCCCCACACAAGGUUAAAGAGUUUACAGCUGUCCCGGCAGAGCCAUCUUCCACGUCUGGGGCCCAUCUUGGAGCAGCUUCUCCAGCUCCAAGGAAAAGUCCCUGCCCAGCUAUGCAACUGCCGGGAGCUUGGCAGCCGGGUCUCUCUGCCCUUCCAGUGUGGCUGAGCAGCCGGGCCCCUCGCUAGCCCUGGGAUCAUUUAUCUCUUUCCCUGUGGAAGCUGGAGGACGUCUGAGAAGGGCCUGGGCUUUGGAGCCUGGAAGGCAUGGGCCUCACCUGCAUCUCCGCGCGGCCACUUUCCAAUUUAGUGGCCUCAGCCUUCCGCCGGCAGCAGCUCCAGAUAAAGAAUGCAGAGUAUGUGCUUCAGUGUCACAAACUGUGCCUAGCCACCAUCCAUCAUCCUGUCAAGACAUCACUCCAGACAGCCCGGCUUCAAGCAGAACCAGGUUGGGGAUUUUCCUCCCAAGAAUAACAAACAGCAGCUAAGUCAGGUUAGGAGCCUCUGCUUCCCCCCGAUCCCUUCAUUACAGAUGAAUGAAUUUUGGGUUUCCCUACGUUGUCCAGCUAGUCCUCCUCCAUUUCCUCAGGGCGUAGAGCAGCAAAAGUCACCAACCCUCAUCCAGUUCAAGAAGCCUCUAAAUGUCACGUAAGUUUAUGCAACCCUUGGCAGGUAGGAUAUGGAGUUUGGAAUAGCAGAAAUUCUUUGCAAGUAGAGAGCAUUUAUAAAAUUCAUCCACGUACCUUAUCCUGUUGAUCUUUACGGCCACCCUAUAAGGCAGGGAUUGUAUUCCCCAGUUGCCAGUUGAGCUGAAUGAGACUCAGAGAAGUUAAGUGAGUUCUCCAAGGUCACAUAGAGUCAGGGGAAGUUGGGGUCUGCUCCCAGUUCUUUUGACUCUAAAUCAUGCACUCCUGGUACUCCUUAUGUUGCAGCUAUUCUUUCUUCCCCAUACUCCUCCUCUCCUCAAACUGUGUCUCUCUGUUGCUAUCUGUCUUUCCAUACCUAGUCCCGAGCAUACAGUGAAGGUCUGACCAUCUCAGAAGCUGCAUGGAGGGAGGGUCUGGCCAUCUCAGAAGCUUCAUGGAGGGAGGGGCUGGCCAUCUCUGUAGCUGCAUAGAGGGAGGGGCUGGCCAUCUCAGAAGUUCCAUGGAGAGAGGGGCUGGGCAUGUCACUGGCUGCAUGGAGGGAGGGGCUGGCCAUCUCAGAAGCUGCAUGGAGGGAGGGGCUGGCCAUCUCAGAAGCUGCAUGGAGGGAAGGGCUGGCCAUCUCAGAAGCUGCAUGGAGUCGGGGUCUGGCCAUCUCAGUGGCUGCAUGGAUUGGGGGACUGGCCAUCUCUGUAGCUGCCCUUGAUUGUCUCCAGAGAGGCACUGACUGAUCAUCGGCGAGUCUGCCUUCCCCUCCUCUGAAUCAUAACCAACCAGGAUCAGCGAGGCUGGAGCUAUGAGGGGGUUGCUUAGAGUGAUCUAGUUCUCCUCUUUGAUUGGAUAGAUCCAGGAGCCAGCUGAGGCCAGCACAGUUCUCUCCCUAGUGAAUGUGACAAUAGGCCUGGGUCCUGAUUCCCCACAUCCUACUGCCUAACAUGAUGCACCCAUCAUCUCCAACCAAGAGACAGGGAUCAGAGACUCAACAUGUUAGCAAACUACAACUCACCCACAUGCAAGCCAGCUGUCCAAUGGGAAUUCUCCUGAUUGAGUGAUGGGGUGGACUGAGGUUUCACACUUGCUUCCUCCAGUGAUGCAGAGCACCAUUUCCAAACCCAAAUAGUCCUCUGGCUCCCAAAAUGAGGGAGAAGAUAGGAGGGGAAGGAGGAGCUAAGCUGCACCCAUUAUCAGUGAGCACAGGUGCAGGAGAGAGGGGGUGCCAGACACAUCUCCACCUCCAUCCCUGGAUCUGUGAUUGACAGGCGCUCAUGUAAUUCACAGAGGCCAAAGGGGAUGAGGUAGGCAGAAUAACAGCCCCCUAAAGAUACCCAUGUUCUAAUCCCUAGAACAUGUGAAUGUUAACCUUAUAUGGCAAGAAAAGGAUUUUAUAGAUGUGAUUAAGUUUAAGUUCUAAAAAUGGAGAGGUUAUCCCGGAUUAUCUGAGUGGGUCCGAUCCGCAAUCACGAGACGGAGGCAGAGGCAGAUGAUCGACCCCAGACAGGAGAGGAGAAUGCAGCAGGGCCCGCAGAGGCAGAGGCUGGAAUGGAGCAGCCCCAAGACAAAGCAUGCUGGCCACCACCAGAAGCCAGAGUACAUGAGGCACAGACCCUUCCCUGGAGCCUCCAGGGAAGCACAGCCCUGCUGACACCUUGAUUUGCGCCCAUUGAGACUUAUUUUGGACCUUUGGCCUCUAGAACUGUGACAGAAUACACUUCUGUUUUUUACACACUUUGUGUGUAAGACUGUGUUACCGCAGUUGCAGGAAACUCACACCAGGGACUAGAGCAGCACUGGCGGUGACCGCUGGUGCUGGCAGAUCUGUCCAAGUGGACCAGGCCCUGGUUCCACAAGUGAGGCCCUCAUGCAGAGGGCGGGUCUGCACACCUGGAAGGGAGGUGGUGAUUAGGUAAUGAACAGUUCUUCCAUUCCUGUCCCAAUUGAACAUGGUGGUCCCCUCUCUCCUAUUCACCCUCGUCCAGCCUCCUCCCCACCAACCCCAUCUGCCUCCCGAAAGGGCACUUACCUUCACCUUGCUGCUGCUCUGAUGUAUUUGUUUUUGCACUGCUAUAAAUAAAUACCUGAGCCUGGGUAAUUUCUAAAGACAAGAGGUUGAAUUGGCUCAUGGUCCUGCAGGCUGUACAGGAAGCAUGGCGGCAUCUGCUUCUGGGGAGGCCUGAGGGAGUUUUACUCAUGGUGGAAGGCAAAGUGGGAGCAGGCGUCUUACACGGCAGGUGCAGGACCCAGAGAGAGAACAGGGAAGUGCCACACACUUUUAAACAACCAGAUGUCACUAGAACUCACUCACUGUCUCAAGAACAGCACCCAGGGGGUUGGUGUUAAUCCAUUCAUGAGAAUCCACCCCCAUCAUUCAGUCACCUCCCACAAGGCCCCACCUCCAGCACUGGGGAUUACAUCUCCACCUGAGAUUUGGGUGGGGACACCGAUUCAAACCACAUCACCCGAUAUUUACCCAUAGGUCUCAGGGCUUCUGCCCUCUCCCCAGGGUGUCAAUAUAGGCUAAGUCUAUGGUCUGUCCAGGAACCCAAGCCUGAAGCAGGGGGCCUGACUGUACAUUGUGAAGUCUGACAUGGGUGGUGAGUGUCCGCCUCACUCCCUGCCACCUCCCUGCAUCGGAGGUGAGUGGAGCCAACUCACCUUCUUCUUCCUCAAGGCCCCACUGAGACCCAGGACCAGCCCCAGGGUCUUGUGAACUCUCCCUUCUUUCCUGCCUGUCCCCACCUGCCACACACACACACACACACACACACACACACACACACAGAGAGAGAGUCAAAGGUUAAGAGGCACUUUUUUCUUUCUUUCUUUCUUUCUUUUUGUGAUGGAGUAUUGCUCCAUCACAAAAGAGAUCUUGGCUGCAGGCUGAUCUCGGCUCACUGCAAACUGUGCCUCCUGGGUUCAAGUGAUUAUCCUGUCUCAGCCUCCUGAGUAGCUGGGAUUACAGGUAAGCUCCAUCACAGCCAGGUAAUUUUUGUGUUUUUAGUAGAGAUAGGGUUUCACCAUAUUGGCCAGGCUGGUCUCGAACUCCUGACCUCAGGUAAUCCCCCCGCCUCAGCCUCCCAAAGUGCUGGGAUUACAGGCAUGAGCCACUGUGCCCGGCCAAGAGGCACUUGUUAAAGACCACAUCCUUACAGGUGGAGAGGGUGCCUGGAGGGGGGAUGCUACAGGGUGAGGAGGUGGUGGGCAGAGCUGUUCACCUGAAAAUGGCACGCACAUGGCCCGGGGGUAAAAGUGGUGAGUAAGGGGGGGCAGGGCAGGAGGGCAUCACGGGACUCAGCUUGAAGGUGAAGAGUGAGGGAAUAGGAAGAGAAGGAGGGCCAGGGCCACAGGAGCAGAGUUCAACAUAGAGAGAAGCCAGCCUCCUGGAUCAGGUGCCUGUGUAGUGACCCCUCCCGAAGGAGGAAAAGGUGGUCAGCAGAGGAGAUGAGCCGGUAGAAACCAGGCAGCCUUUGGAGGUGCCUGGCAACAGGGAGCAACAGUGGAGUUCAUGCGAAGUGGCUGGGCAGCUGAAACACGGUCCAGAGAAGCCCAUUAAUCAUUCAUUCAUUCAUUCAUCCAGGAAAACACUCACUGGGCUCUGACUGACUGGGCUAGGCUCUGGAGAUACAGAGAUGGGUGAGAAACAGUCCGUGAUUUCCAGACAUUUGAGCCAGGCAGAGAGAUGGCAGUGCUACCAGUUCCGCUGUGGGAGGCUGGCCAGGUUCUGUGGGUACCAACUCCACGUGAAUAGCUCUGUCUUCUCCUUCCUCUGCCUGUUGCACCCACCCCUCCAGGCACCUGCUCUACCUGAGGAGACAUGGUUUUGAAGAAGUUCCACUUAACCUUUGAGUGUGUGGCGAGUGGGGAUGGAUGGGCAUCCAGUCUCCUGGGGGUGGUAGGAGAGCACUUUCUCCUCAUAGUGACCCUAAACCUGCAUCUUGAAAUGUAAUUCAAACUGAAUAUGCAAGCAAGAGGUGGGGGCCGUGCAGGCAGAUGGUGUCCCAGGACCAGGCACAGAGGCCUGAAUGCAGCUGCUCCCUGUGUGGCUGGAGCAGCAGGUGGAAGGGCCAUUGGCUGCGCUGGAUGCAGAAGGAUGCUGUCCCAAGAGGUCUGGACAUUCUCUCAGGGGCAACGCUGUUCAGGUGGAGCAAGCUUCUUUUUGUGUUUUAUAAAAGUAGGAAAGAUGCAUGGGUGAGGGGAGGGGUGGGAACAGAGCAGAGGGAGGGAGGGAGAUCACCUGGAGGCUGUUGUCACAGACCAUGCAUUCCAUAAGGGGGUGACAUCACCCCCAAAGUGGCAAAAUUGGUUCUUGGGGCGUGCCAGAAAUCUUACCUUUAUGUUUAAAGGCAUAAAAAUACACACAGCAUAGAAACAGACACACAGUCUAUCUGUGGCAUUGCAAUUUCAUAGGGGCAGGUGAUUAGGAAAAGACUUCUUGACAGGGAAUAAUGAAAAGAAGAUUGGCCGACACUGACCUAUGCUGUGCAGGUAGGGGCCACCCCCGCAAGUCAGAGGGGAGAUGAGGGAUAGGAGGGUGUGACUAAGGAGUGUCAAGAAUGACUGGAGUAGAGGAUGAGAAAUGGAGAAAGGAGAAUCUGCAUAAGCCCCACGCUUCUUGGCUCUGGGUGACUGGGCUGGGGGAAGGAGGGGGGAUGUAAUUUACCAAAAGAAAGCUUGUUAGGGGGUGAGCUAAGGGUGUACCAGGAUGAGUGGCGACCCUCUAAAAUGCAUGACCACCUGGAACCUCUUCAUUUGGAAAUAGGUCUUCCAGCUCUAAUUAAUUAAGAUGAGGUUAUACUGGAUUAUGGUAGACCCCAAAUCUAGGGUCUCAAAGGCUGAUGUCCUUAAAAGGCCGUGUGAAAACACAGAAUGACACACAGGGAAGAAGUCCUUGUGAAGACAGAGGCAGAGGCGGAGGCGAUGCAGCCACAAGCCAAGGAAUGCCAAGGAUUGCCUGGAGCCCCAGGAGCAAGGAGGGAUCCUCUUGCGGAGCCUUCAGAGGGAGCACUGCCCUGCAACAUCUCGAUUUUGGAUUUCCAGCCUCUAGAACUGUGAAAGAAUAAAUCCCUUGUUUUAAGUCUCCCAGUUUGUGGUACUUUGCAAUGGCAACUGCAAACAGCAGGUUCUGUUUGGGUCCCUUGGUUUGGAGGUUCCUGUGGAAUGUGCAGCUUGACAGAUCCAAUAGAGACCUGCAGUUUAAGGAAGCAGUGAUGGGUGGAGACACUGAUUGCCACCAGCGUGCAAGCAGCAGUGGGAAGAAGGAACUUGGCUGAGAUGAUUCAGGGUGAAAGUGGAGUGUGAGAAAGGCAGGGAGAUCAGGACCAACCCCAAGGAAAUACCAUUCAAGGACAAGCAUGAAAGAUGCCCCCUUAAAAGGAGACACCAAUGAAUGAAUAAAUGGGGAAACAGAGAGAAUAGUGUCCCAGGACCCAUGGAAGGAGAGAAUAAAAACCAGCAAAAACACUCUGCAGUCCCAGGACCGGCCUCACUCAGUGCUGGGAUCCUUGGGAAGUUGCUGCAAGGAGUAUAAAGCCGUGGCAUCCAUGCCCAAGGAUAUCACAAGGGGGCACGAAGCCAAGACAUAAACAAGCAAAUUUUAAAUCACCCUCAAAGAGUUAACUAUCAGCACAAGGCUACAGGAGAAAAAAAAAUGAUGUCUCAAGGCAGCACAGUGGAUGAUUAAUUAACGAACGAAUUGCACAGGCUAAAAUUAUAUAAGAGUUCAGAGGACAGAGAAAGCACUUAGGGCUUCAAUUGUCGGGGAUGGAUUUGCUGAGAGGU
rnacentral:lncRNA from 1 species